rnacentral:rRNA from 1 species
GACGAACGCUGGCGGCGUGCUUAACACAUGCAAGUCGAACGGAAAGGCCCUGCUUUUGUUGGUUUCUCGAUUGGCGAACGCGGGAGUGACACGUGAGUAACCUGCCCUUGACUGUGUGAUAACUUCAGGAAACUCCGGCGAAUACCGCGGAUGAUCUCCUGCUCCAUAGUGUGGGUUGGAAAGUGUCGGCGGUGGUGGAUGGACUGGCGGCUUAUCAGCUUGUUUGUGUGGUAGUGGCUUACCAAGGCUUUGACGGGUAGCCGGCAUGAGAGGGUGAACGGCCACAUUGGGACUGAGAUACGGACCAGAAUGCUACGGGCGGCAGCAGGGGGGAAUAUUGCGCAACGGGCGGACGCCUGAUGUAGAAACGCUGGGUGCGGGAUGCCGGCCUUCGGGGUGUAAACAGCUUUGGAAUGUGCCGAAGAGUGCGUGACGGUAAUGGGUAAAGAAGCAACGGCUAACUACGUG